rnacentral:lncRNA from 1 species
UUUUUUUUGGGUCUCUAAAUAUUUUGCUCUAAUAUCAUGUUAACAAUCUAAAUGCAGAUCAAGAAGAAAAUGAGAAAAACACAAGAAUUAACAAGGUUCGACGGUGUGUCUACAUCUUCGGAUAAGCCUUCCUGACACUCUUUUUUUUCUUUUUCUCCUUGAUCAUCAAGCAUGUACAAACUCAUAUAUAUAUAUAAUCAGACGAAUUUCUUCUACAAGUCAAGCCUCUACAAAUUAGGAAAAUAGAAUUCUCUACAAAUCAGGAGGAAAAUUAAAUCCCCUACAAAUUAGGGGCUGGAAAAUAAAAUCCCCCAUAAAUUAGGUAAUUCCAACUCACGCCAACAAAAGGAACAUCCAUAGUUGUCUGUUGGCUUCUCAAGUUGUAGGUUUCAUCUCCCGAGCAUAAGCAGGAACUUCAAUCUGCCGUGCCACUGCGUGAACCACUGACAAGAAAGGAUCGAGCACCCUGGGAGAGGCUAGAGAUCUGCGCGUAACACGGCUGUGGAUCUUGUGAUACCUUCAGAAGAAAAUUUUAAGACAAUUGAAGUCAGCCACAACUAAACAUAAAACAUGACUUGAGCGUCAGCUUUAUUGAGCAAGACUUCCAUCGAUGAAUCAAAGCAGCGGGCAAAAGGCGUCGCUUGAUUUCUUCAGCUCCCAUGAGGACA